rnacentral:tRNA from 1 species
GCAUUGGUGUUCAGUGGUAGAAUUCUCGCCUGCCACGCGGAGGCCCGGGUUCGAUUCCCGCCAAUGCA